UACGUAGGGGGCAAGCGUUGUCCGGAUUUAUUGGGCGUAAAGAGCGUGUAGGCGGUUCGGUAGGUCCGUUGUGAAAACUCGAGCUCAACCUCGAGACGCCGAUGGAAACCCCCGAACUAGAAUCCGGAAGAGGAGAGUGGAAUUCCCGGUGUAGCGGUGAAAUGCGCAGAUAUCGGGAAGAACACCCGUGGCUAAGGCGGCUCUCUAGUACGGUACUGACGCUGAGACGCGAAAGCGUGGGGAGCGAACAGG
rnacentral:rRNA from 1 species